UCCUGCCUUUCCACACCAGCACCCAGGAGGAGCAAAGCUAAACUAGUAAGCGGACUUGUGAUUUGGAAUGUUCUUCUUCUCUGGAAAGAAGGAAUGGAUUUCCAGUCCUAGAGAGCUAAACUCUACCACAUCGCCUGGCUACAGUGUGAAAUCCCUUCAGGACAGUUUUGGAGAUGGUGAUGGCACACAUACUGCCUUCUGAUGAUUUUGCCAGUGGUUGUUCAAGCGCAUGGCAUUCACCUCAUUCUGAUUCUCCUCUCGCCUCUGCAGCAGCUUCUUAAAGACUUCCAUUUGAACCUUCUGCAACCUGCAAGGAAAGAAAAGAGUUCGGAACAUGAGGCCGAAGACCUGGCUGUCUCUUGCAUCUGACAGCACACGCGGCUUUGUCCUAAAAAGAGAUGCAAGAUGGAAGAUUGAUCACAUUCAUUAAAAAAACCUCCAUGCAAACAAAGCAGGAACACGUCAGUCAAAGAGACACAAUUAACAAUACUUAACAUUGCUCGACGCUGAGAUCAAAACAGAGGAUUACAUGCUGAGACCAGUUGUCUUCCAAGCCCUCAUCUAAUUCCUGCAAACUGUGCUGUGGAAUCUGGGAAGGCACAGAAUGGAUAUCUACCACAGGAAAGCUUUGAGCGAGACGCUUCAUUAACCUCCCGUGACACACAAUUUACUGCCAAGGGAGUAGCCUAGGACUGAGAUGGAGUUUCUACCCAUGCAUAUGCAGAAAAAGACAAGGUCAACAUGUGAGCUGACUUUAGCCAAUACCUACCAGUCUAUCACCAAGUUGAGCGUGAACAUUUGACUUUGGAGGGUCCUUCUUACUUCACCAUGUGUACAGAGGGUCUGAAAGACAAGUGAACAAGCAGAACUACUUGCAUAUUUGAGGAAUCAGCACAAAUAAUCAGGCUCCACUUCCCUCUUUAAAAGUCUGUCUAUAAGACAGUAUAAAACAAACUAAAAAGAAAGAACUGAAAUAUAUGUCUCUGUAUCAAACAGAUGUCACCAUCAUGCAAAUGAGCCUCAGAGCUGAAAUCCUGUUCUGUGGAAGAUACAGGUGAAAAAUCUAGUAGAAAAAUCUGCUUUCUUUGGAGGCACCAUCAACUUGAACAGAAAAUGCGACGACAUGAAACAUUAAAAGGCAGGCAUAGUGCAACGGUAA